rnacentral:ncRNA from 1 species
CCAAAAACACAAUGUUUUGGUCCUAAACUUGCCGCUAUUUUUUACUCAACUUAUACAUGCAAGCAUCUACAUACCAGUGAGAAUGCCCCACUCAUCUAAAAGACGAACGGAGCCGGUAUCAGGCACAAACAUCUUUGGCCAAUGACACCUUGCCCUGCCACACCCCCACGGGUUUACAGCAGUAAUUUAUAUUAAACAUAAGCGAAAGCUUGAUUUAGUUAUAGUAAUAUUAGGGUCGGUAAAUUUCGUGCCAGCCACCGCGGUUAUACGAAAGACCCAAAAUAACGGCCCCCGGCGUAAAGCGUGGCUAGAACAUAUUUAACUUAAGGACGAACACCUUCUCCGCUGUGAAACGCUUAAGAAGUUAAGAAUACCACCCCCUUAAAAUCAUUUAACACCACGAAAGCUAGGACACAAACUGGGAUUAGAUACCCCACUAUGCCUAGCCUUAAACCUAGAUAGAAAAAUACCACCUAUCCGCCAGAGAACUACAAGCAAAAUACUUAAAACUCAAAGGACUUGGCGGCAUUCCAUAUCAACCUAGAGGAGCCCGUCCAAUAAUCGAUAAUACACGCUCAACCCCACCACUUUUGGCCACUCCAGCCUAUAUACCGCCGUCGUCAGCUAACCUUGUGAAAGAAAAGUAGUAAGCACAAUAGCCCUCGCUAGAACGUCAGGUCAAGGUGUAGCUAAUAAAGUGGAUGUGAUAGGCUACAUUUUCUACUAUAGAAAACACGGAAAAUACAAUGAAACUUUGUAAUUAAAGGUGAAUUUAGAAGUAAAAUAAGAAAGUGCCCUUAUUUUAAUACCGCCCUGGAAUGCGCACACACCGCCCGUCACCCUCCUCGAAAUAAACCAGAUGAGGUAAG